GGAUAGCUCGGUCGGUAGAUCACAAGGCUCGUAAUCUCGGGUUCGUGGGUUCGAGCCCCACGUUGGGCA